rnacentral:tRNA from 1 species
CCUGGUGGCUCAGAGGUUAAAGCAUCUGCCUGGAAUGCUGGAGACCUGGGUUCAAUCCCUGGGUCAGGA